GCUUCCGUAGCUCAGUUGGAUUCAGAGCACGUGGUUGCGGACCACGAGGCCGGGGGUUCGAGUCCCUCCGGGAGCA
rnacentral:tRNA from 1 species